rnacentral:rRNA from 1 species
AACGUAGGUUCCGAGCGUUAUCCGGAUUUACUGGGCGUAAAGCGCGUUCAGGCGGUUUGGCAAGUCGGGCAUGAAAUCUCUCGGCUCAACCGGGAGAGGUUGUCCGAUACUUCCAGACUUGAGGGCAGUAGAGGGUGGUGGAAUUCCGGGUGUAGUGGUGAAAUGCGUAGAUAUCCGGAGGAACACCAGUGGCGAAAGCGGCCACCUGGACCGCACCUGACGCUGACACGCGAAAGCUAGGGGAGCGAACGGG